CCACUUGGGCUUGUAGCCCAGUGGUGAACCAUUGCCCUCAAAGUUAAGCAUGACUAUGAGGGCAAUGGUUCGAGUCCCCACGGACUCAACCUCCCUCAAUUAAAUAUAAUUGUGUGGAGACUUCUUACAACGUCUUCCUUGCGAAAUGCGAGUGGAGUAGAGACAUCUCUCCUUAAUUGUGUGGAGACUUCUUACAACGUCUUCCUUGCGAAAUGUGAGUGGAGUAGAGACAUCUCUCCUCUGUGAGGGGUAUUUGGAUGGGCAUGUACUUCAUAGAAUAAAAAAUAUCAGUGUAAUGACCUGUUUGGAUGGGCACAUCUCUCCUCUGUGAGGGGUAUUUGGAUGGGCAUGUACUUCAUAGAAUAAAAAAUAUCAGUGUAAUGACCUGUUUGGAUGGGCAUGUACUUUUUGGAUGGGCAUGUACUUCAUAGAAUAAAAAAUAUCAGUGUAAUGACCUGUUUGGAUGGGCAUGUACUUCAUAGAAUAAAAAAUAUCAAUGUAAUGACCUGCUGUCAUAGCAGUUGUAUAUAUCUCUGUGUAAUACAAUAACCAACUGAUGCUUAAUCAGUUUCAAAAAAAAAAAAAAAAAUAGCGUAAUGAUAUUAUACUAUCAAAACACAUGUUUUAUAGCUUUAUUGGAUUGUAAUAUAAAUCCGGG
rnacentral:lncRNA from 1 species